rnacentral:rRNA from 1 species
AGGGAAAGUGACAAUAGGGAACUUUAAAACAGGUGAAGCCGCGAAUAGCUCAUUACAACAGCCACCGGUUUACUAGAAUAUAGUUAACCUACUUGGAUAACUGUGGCAAUUCUAGAGCUAAUACAUGCAUAAAAGCUCUGCCCGCAAGGAACGAGCGCAUUUAUUAGAAUAAAAACCAAUCGGGUUUCGGCCCGUAAUUUGGUGAAUCUGAAUAACUUUGCCAAUCGCACAGUCCUAGUACUGGCGAUGUAUCUUUCAAGUGUCUGCCUUAUCAACUUUCGAUGGUAGGUUAUACGCCUACCAUGGUAGUAACGGGUAACGGAGAAUAAGGGUUCGACUCCGGAGAGGGAGCCUGAGAAACGGCUACCACAUCCAAGGAAGGCAGCAGGCGCGCAAAUUACCCACUUCCAGAACGGAGAGGUAGUGACGAAAAAUAACGAGACAGUCCUCUUCGAGGUCUGUCAUCGGAAUGGGUACAAUUUAAAUCCUUUAACGAGGAUCUAUUGGAGGGCAAGUCUGGUGCCAGCAGCCGCGGUAAUUCCAGCUCCAAUAGCGUAUAUUAAAGUUGUUGCGGUUAAAACGCUCGUAGUUGGAUCUGCGGCCUCGGAGAACGGUCCCCCGAAAGGGCGGUCACUGUCUCUCCUAGCCUAAAUUCGAGUCGUCUCUAGGUGCUCUUUACCGAGUGCUUAGAGUGACUAGAACGUUUACUUUGAAAAAAUUAGAGUGCUUAAAGCAGGCGAAAUAGCCUGAAUAAAGGUGCAUGGAAUAAUGGAAUAGGACCUCGGUUCUAUUUUGUUGGUUUUCGGGAACCUGAGGUAAUGAUUAAGAGGAACGGACGGGGGCAUUCGUAUUCCGGCGCUAGAGGGUGAUAUUCUUGGACCGCCGGAAGACGGACAACUGCGAAAGCAUUUGCCAAGAAUGA